GGGGUCCGAUUCAGCCAUGCUAGUUGUACGGGUUUAGACCCGUAGCAAAUAGCUCCGUAACACGUGGUCAAACUACCCUCUGGACCGGAAUACCCUCGGGAAACUGAGGCUAAUUCCGGAUACUGCUAUCAUGUUGGAACACAGAAAGUCGGAAACGGUCCGCCGCCGGAGGACGUGACUGCGGCCGAUUAGGUAGACGGUGGGGUAACGGCCCACCGUGCCGAUAAUCGGUACGGGUUGUGAGAGCAAGAACCCGGAGACGGUAUCUGAGACAAGAUACCGGGCCCUACGGGGCGCAGCAGGCGCGAAACCUUUACACUGCACGCCAGUGCGAUAAGGGGACCCCGAGUGCGAGGGCAUACAGUCCUCGCUUUUCGUGACCGUAAGAAGGUCUCAGAAUAAGAGCUGGGCAAGACCGGUGCCAGCCGCCGCGGUAAUACCGGCAGCUCGAGUGAUAGCCACUAUUAUUGGGCCUAAAGCGUCCGUAGCCGGCCGAACAGGUCCGUCGGGAAAUCCACCCGCUCAACGGGUGGACGUCCGGCGGAAACCAGUCGGCUUGGAGCCGGGAGACCAGAGAGGUACGUCCGGGGUAGGAGUGAAAUCCCGUAAUCCUGGACGGACCGCCGGUAGCGAAAGCGUCUCUGGAGAACGGACCCGACGGUGAGGGACGAAAGCUUGGGUCUCGAACCGGAUUAGAUACCCGGGUAGUCCAAGCUGUAAACGAUGCUCGCUAGGUGUGGCGUUGGCUACGAGCCAGCGCUGUGCCGUAGGGAAGCCGAGAAGCGAGCCGCCUGGGAAGUACGUCCGCAAGGAUGAAACUUAAAGGAA
rnacentral:rRNA from 1 species